GUGCAUCAAUACCUUGGCUCUAGACUGCUUACUGCUAAAACUCCUCCAAAGUACAGUAACAGUCUACAGUCAUGGCUACUGACGUCUG
rfam:Oreochromis niloticus linkage group LG14, whole genome shotgun sequence.